UACGAAGGGAGCGAGCGUUGUUCGGAUCACUGGGCUUAAAGCGUGCGUAGGCGGAUUGGUAAGUAAGAAGUGAAAUCCCAGGGCUUAACCCUGGAACUGCUUUUUAGACUGCCUGUCUGGAAUUCGGUAGAGGUUGGUGGAACUCCUAGUGUAGAGGUGAAAUUCGCAGAUAUUAGGAAGAACACCGGUGGCGAAGGCGACCAACUGGACCGAUAUUGACGCUGAGGCACGAAAGCGUGGGUAGCAAACAGG
rnacentral:rRNA from 1 species